ACAGAGGAUGUCUACUUGAUAUUUUAACAAUUUUGGAGAUAUACUUUUGUUUAAGAUCUCAAAGUGUUUUAGUAUUGGUAUGAUAAAUAAGUGUGAAAACAUGGGACAAGGAGAUGAACAACAUAAUCAGACUGGGAGUUAAGUGCUGACUGUGAGAUGCAAGGUGUUUCAAUAAAGAUGUGCAGUAUUAAUCCUGAAAAGGUGAGCACAACCACAAGAAGUUCUUGGAAACACAGGCAGUGGACUUAAAACAGACAUCAAUUAAAGAAAUAGUAAUUUAAAUAAUCAGAAACAUUUGAAACAAAUUUAUGAUUGAAACACUCUCAGCAAAAAAAUUGCAAAAAAACAAAGUGUUGGAUUCUAAGAAAACCAGUAACUACCAAAACCUGCAGGUAGAAAAAAACUGUUUGUGUUAUAGUGAAUGUAUGGUAUUCUAUUCUGUAUUUGGACUAAAGGAUAUGUAUUAAAUUUUGUGAAAGAAAAUUUAAUGUGAUACAUUAUUGAUAAUUUUAUCCCAAAAAAAUGUGAUCAUGUUAAACUCUGAUACAUUAUUGAUAAUUUUAUCCCAAAAAAAUGUGAUCAUGUUAAACUCAUAAAAAUUCCGCCCCCAUGAAUUCUGUCCCAGAAUUCCGCCCAGAAUUUUGUUUGACAAUUCCGUUCCAAAAUUCCGUUCCGAAAUUCCGCCCCGAGAUUCCGCUUCAAAAUUCCGCCCCGAGAUUCCGCUUCAAAAUUCCGCCCCAAGAUUCCGCUUCAAAAUUCCGCCCCAACUCAUUUGCAUAUUUCGUCCCAAUUCCGCCCGGAAUCCGUCCCGUUUCCGCCUGGAAUCCGGCCGGAAUCCGUGCCAAAAGCAAAUGGUUUAACACUUGUAUAUUUGGGGGAGAAUUUAAAUUUCUGGGCGGAAUCUGCCAUUGAAUUCCGCCUCAUUUCCGUGCAGAAAAUUUCGUACAGGUAGGG